GUUUAGCAAGUUAUUAUUAGUUUCAAUUUCCCGUUUGUAUAGCUUGAAAGAAUAAAGUGAGAACCGGGCAUUUGACGAGCGGAUUGUUUUGUAUUCAUUAAGAUUAAGUACCUACCUUUCAAAAUGUGUAAAUGUUUGGCAGGAAAUGUAGCGUGUUGCUGCUUCAAUUGCGCGCUCAGUGUUCUAAUAUCAAUUCUAAGCGCAUUUUUUGUGGUUUUUCUAAUAGUCGGCGUAAUAGUGUACUUUGUUUAUUAUCAUGAGCAAGAAAAUGACACUGCAAGCAAAAUAAGGGACGGGCUAAAAGCAGGGCUUGACAAUGGAUUGGACAAAAUAAAUGAUGCUUUAUCAAGAAAAUAAGGACUACUGUGCCAUGCCAGGCAUAAAAAUGCCCAACACUAUUUUAAAAUGAAUCUUGU